CAACAUAUUCGUUACAUUUAGAACAUUAUUAACAUAUGAUACCUGUAAAUAUAUAUAGACCGUUAUUAACAUUUUUACACAUACAAACACAAUUGUAUACACGAUACAAACAUAUAUUACAACCAAAUUAGUGAUAUAGACAUCCAAUAUAUAGAAUAUAAUAUAUAUCUAUGUUACAAUAACUUAACCAAAUACCGAUAUAUAAAGCCCACCAAAAUAAGCGGGUUACCGCCGUUGAACCACCACUUCAGAUCCGUCGUUGAACCACCACUCCAGAUCUGUCGUUGAAUCACCACCGAUUGUCAACAAAGUUUCGCCACAGCAUCACCGUAAGCACGUUGCCAUUGUCGAUCCAUCGUGGAUUAUCACCGGAUCUCAUAUAAAUAUGCUUUUGACGAGAAAAACAAAUGAAGAAGAAGAAUCAACCACAAAUAAGCUAGCAACGUUAAAAAUGGAAGAAGAGAGAGAGAAAUGAGAUUUAUGGAGUUGAGAGAGAGAGAGAGAGAGAGAGAGAGAGAGAGAGAGAGAGAGAGAGAGAGAGAGAG
rnacentral:lncRNA from 1 species